rnacentral:rRNA from 1 species
UACGAAGGGGGCUAGCGUUGUUCGGAAUUAUUGGGCGUAAAGGGCGCGUAGGCGGUUUGUUAAGUCAGCUGUGAAAGCCCGGGGCUCAACCCCGGAGAGUCGACUGAUACUGGCAGACUAGAGUACGGAAGAGGUUGAUGGAAUUCCAGGUGUAGCAGUGAAAUGCGUAGAUAUCUGGAAGAGCACCAGUGGCGAAGGCGGUCAACUGGCCCGUAACUGACGCUCAUGCACGAAAGCGUGGGUAGCGAACAGG